UACGGAGGGUGCAAGCGUUAUCCGGAUUCACUGGGUUUAAAGGGUGCGUAGGCGGGGAGGUAAGUCCGGGGUGAAAUCUCUGAGCUUAACUCAGAAACUGCCAUGGAUACUAUUUGUCUUGAAUAUUGUGGAGGUAAGCGGAAUAUGUCAUGUAGCAGUGAAAUGCUUAGAUAUGACAUAGAACACCAAUUGCGAAGGCAGCUUACUACACAGUUAUUGACGCUGAGGCACGAAAGCGUGGGGAUCAAACAGG
rnacentral:rRNA from 1 species